GGAGAUCAGGUGCAAGCAAUGCCCCUAAGUGACCAGCAGGGUGGAGCCGGGAUCCAACCCUUCCCAGACCUCAUUUAAGGGUUGGCAGUAGAGGCGAGGGUUUUUUGCUGGUGGUCUCUGUGUAUCUGAGAUGUUUUGAAGGGGAAAUAACAUCCUGAUUCUGCAGCCUGCUCCUGGAUGAGGUGACAUUUCUUCAAGCCAGAUCACCUAGAAAACACAACCUAUCUUCUUCCAAUCCUUGGACUUCACUCUCCUAGUUGCAGCUCUUGUGUCACACCAGCAUUCAAGGGCUCUAAUCCCUGGGUCUGAUGCAGAAGAGGGACCAGCUGCAUCUCCCUGCUCUUUUACUUUCCCUUUCCCGCCUGCUCCCUCCCUCACCAUGUCAGGGCAAUAUGCACGGAGCCUGAUAUCCUAUUGCACCAGUGGAUCUGGGAAUAGAUAGCUGGAGGAGCUUACACCCACAAUACAUCUCAGGGACCAGCUUUCACUGAAGAAGCAGAUUGCAUUUAAAGGUGAGAUGUUCUCUCCUGGUCUGCAACAUGCAUAAUGCAUAGCACAGCCUCCAUGAGCUGUUAUCAGAGGUUAGGCCAUUUACAGCACUGAUGCUGCUAUGAAAUGCUCUUCUGCAGGGAUAUUUCCCACAUCCAAGGCUUUUAUCUGCAUAGCAUUUGAAGACUUGUAGUUUGUGGUUGAAAUCUUCUCUGUGAGAGUUGGUAGUCUCUGGUAGUUCAACCUCCUCUUCUUCAGCUGGCAUUUGUCAUUAAAUAAACAGUGUGCUUCCUCUUUCAGCUAGAUUAGUACAAAUCGAGAACAAUUCCGGCUCAGUGUCAGCUUAAAACAGAAACUGAAGGUCUGGGAUACUCUUUAUUUGUGAGGAGAAGCUCAUAGAAGAGCAAGGUGCCAGAUUAGUGACCCAGGGGACCACAAGUUUUAUUCAAAGAUGGCCUAAUUCCCAGCAAAGUGCUAGUGCCCAGUUUCCUCCUCAGCAGCCCUGCUUCUCCAAGAGGCUCCCUGCCAGGAGGAAACACUCAUCUCCUGCACGUAGGUAGGACAGCAGGCACAAGCAGUGCUGCAAAGCUUUCCAGAGCAGGUGCAACAGGAGCUGGGCACUCAGGAAGCUCACAGCCUUGACAAGGGGAGAGCUCAGAGAUCCCUAGCCCAUGGGUACCUGUGACCUCUGCCACCAUCUGCAGCCAAGAAACUGGUUCCUGCCCUGUGGCCACCCCUCCAGCAGGAGGUGGACAGAGGUCACUGUGUGCCUUUCACAGCUCUCCCCAAAAAGGGACAUGAAAAGGGGAAAUAAUAACAACAAAGGAUGUUGCUGGUUCUACACGCUUAUUAUUAGCAGAGGAAGGACUGGGAUUAAUCACUCCUGCUGAAGCAGCUGUAAAGGAUGGAAGUAGCUGAUCAAAGUGGACUUUGUUAUUCCCAGUGUAUCAUUCUGCUGAGCAAUGAGAACUAGCACGGGGCACUGGAGCUUCAAAAGGGCUUUAAUGACUCCAAGGCUUAACCAAGGACGCUGCUGGAGCUAAUCGAGAAGGAAAUCCAGGGCAAGGUGGAAAUGAUGGAAAUGAGUGCUUUGGUCCGAGGAAUUUUUCCACAUCUUUCAUUUCCUAAUUCCAUACCUUUGAGGUAAUAAAAUUUACAGCGAUGGAAAAAAAAAGUGGGACAAUGGGAAAUGUUCCUCUAUGGACUGGGCUACGUGUGGCUGGGCUGCACCUGAUUGCUGCGCUUGUGGCAGGGGGGACAGAGGGCACAAGGAGCCACUCCAUCCAGCCCUGUUGAGAUCUGACAAAACCAUGGUCCCUCCACCUCCUCCUGUCCCAGGAUGCCCCCUCCUAUUGCUGGGCAGUUGACGAGUACCAUGGAGGCUGGGACAGGCCCCCUUUCCUCCUUGCUGACUGAAUGGAUGUACAGCAACUGCCUUCUGCAUCCUUGAGUGUACAGCCCUAGAAUGGCCCUUUUGUCAAUGGCAGGGACAAGAAGCCGCCCUGUGCUGCUGCUGGAGUGAGCCAUGAAUGAGUACAGAGAACCUCUGAGCAACGGCUGGGAAUUAGCCAUGGGGAGCAUGACUUGCCUGCACUGCAGCCGGUGGAGCUCUGCCUUACAAAAGAACAGCCACAUGUCUGCAGGAGAGCUCUCACCCUAAUUUGGAAAAGAAAUACACACUUUAAGGGGCAGCUUUGUUAGCAACACAUCCACCAUGUCACUCUCUUCUCACUUCCUUCGUUUCUUCCUUCCUUGUUUCUGUUUAUAGAGCAAAUAGAUCCAAAAGAGCAUUUCCUACUCAGCAGCACUAGCAUCUCUGAGACAGUCAAGGACGUGUUGUCCACAAACAGGUCUUUUUCCUGCCUGUGAAAUGUUGGUCCUCUCUUGAAAGAAAGACUCUGAGAGCAUUCAUAUCCAUACAGACUGUGAGCCCAUCUUGCUUGGUGUCUCUCAUAAGCCCUGCCUGCCCAUGGCCCGUCACACAAGGGUGAAGGAGCAUCUUCAGUGCUUUCUCCCUCUGCAUCCCGAGAAGAUCUAUGGGUCUGUUUCUUUUCACUUCUGUCCAGAAGAAUCCAGCGUACAUUUUGUGGUUAAAAGUCAAAACUGGGGAAGGAAAGCUCUCAAACGCAGCAGCUGCAGCGUCAUCUAUUUUGCUUUCUCAGCCUAAACAUGCAGUAGCACGUUCUGCUGAGGGGCAAACCAAGCAAGCUGCUGGAACAGACAGGAUGAGAAAUGGAGGCCAAGCAGCAGUGCCUCACAAGGGAACCCAAUGCCCCGUACCAGCCGCAGUACAGUUGGCAGCCCUCCUGCAGCAGCAGUGCACCGUGGCUUAGUGAGUGUGUACAGAUUCCUGCUUCCUCCUUUCCCAGCCCAGUGUUUUUACUCCUCUGCAAUGGACAAGGUGGACCUGGCCUGCAUGCAGCUGUCUGUAUCCCCAGGGAUGUGACAUUAACUGAGGCUGGGAACUGCCCUGGCUGCAUCCCUUUCCUCCUGCUGUGGAGAUAUUCCCUGGGGGAGCAUAUGAGUACUUGUCAUAAGAGCAUCGUGUCGGGCUUCUCCUCUACUCCUGUGUCCUGCAAAGGGCUGAGAAAUGCAGGAGUCUGCAGCCUCAGUGAGUAAAGAAACCCAGCUCCCUUUUCCUGACCACAGGAAGGCUGUGGGGAAGGAGGAUCCCAGCUGAUCCCACCCCACAGCUUUUCCUUUGGAAUCUAAAAUGCAGUCUUUCACAGGCAGGAGGGCAACCAAGCUGAGCUCCAUGUUUUCCAGCAGCAGGGUCUGUUAGAAAGCAGCCUGUGUUGGUGGGGCAGUGUCUUCCUCUGCAAAGCCCUUUGACAUACCCUGUAUUCCUCGUCCCCAGCAGGAUGGGGAAAGCUGUGCUUCCAGAGCUGAGUUGGAGGCAGCAGAGCCCUGCAGCCACAGUGAGCACAGCUGAGUGGGUGGAGUGUGGCACGCUGAGGGAAUUGCCCUUGUUAUUCCAACACAAGUGAAGGCAGAAAUUCAGUUUCUGGUGAUGUCCUGAACUCUGCCUCCGGUGUCACCAGCACUCUAGUGCUGCCAAAACAAACACGGGCGCCUGACCAAAGAAAGUAAACCAAAGCCCUCCCAGCAGCAGCCACAGGCACACACUCAGCUUCACACUAGCACCUUCCUUUAGACCUUGGUAUCCUGAUAUCUGCUUUAUUUAGGCAAGAAACACAGAUAAACAGUUGUACGGCAGAGCAGCCAGCUAGCGCUGCCACUCAGCACAAAUGGAGGUGAGGCAGUGCAGACAGCAUUGCUGGGUACUCAGCAGGGCUGGCCUUGAUUCCCAAGCGAACACCUGGACAGACUGCAUUGAGGGAGGCAGCAAUGUCUCUAUCCUGUGGCUAAAUUGUGAAGCAGCAGCUUUCACGUGUGCACUGCCUGGCCAGCAUCCACCUGGGCUCCUGUGCUCUUGGCAGAUGUGUUAAGCAGAUAGAGCUGAUGUCUUCCCAAAAUGACUCCAUGGGCAGCAGAGCUGCAUGAAAAGAGAUGCUUAUCUGGACUUUGGAAACAUCUUCCUAUGAGGUCAUCUUCUUUUCUCUUUCUUCUCUUUUUAACUUUUCCUUCAUGGGGGUAAGGCCACAGCAUGAUCUGCUUGAAACUGCCAGCAGAUCCCAGACAGAAGAUGGAGGAAAAGGGAAGAACAGGCAGUGAAGUGUAUUUGAUGGAGCAGGUCUUUUUGAAGAGCCCGGGUGUCCCUCCUCCGCAGUCCUUUCCCACGAGUGAGGCUGAGAACAGUCGUGAGCAUGGUGGUAGAGAAGGAAAAAGGGCUGUGGAGGCAGUACACCUCCAGGGAGUGGUUUCUGCCUGUCUCCUCACAGGGGUGCUCAGCUUUGGGUGUUCAGUGCAGGAACAGCUUCUCUGAGUUUAGCUGCAGACCAAGCCAGUAGGGAUGGGAUUCUUCAGGUAUCAUUUUGCAGAGUUGGUUUUGCAGACACCUUUCACACCUACUGCCUCUUCUGGUAUGCUAGAACAGAAAUGAGAGUUGGACAUGGCCCCUUGGUACCAGCAGCCAUACCAACAGCCUGACAGUUAGCUGUGGGACUGCAUGCUCUCUUCUCUGUGCCAGCAGAAGGUAUCCCCAGGGCUACUAACACUCUUCCUACCCCAACCUUUGCUCUGGUCUGCCCCGAACUCAGUGACCCUUCAGCCCUUCCAGCUUUCCUUUAAUAUUCAUCUCUUGCAGGGCAGUUGCUGAGUGACUCCCACAACAUGCCACGCUGUGAAAGCUCAGGUCAGGGAAGCUUUGACCCUGUCCCCAGCCAUCAGGAGCACAGCAGGCAGAGGAGGACCAAGCCUCUGUGACUGUGCAGGUGGCAGAUUUUGAGCCUUCAGAGCAGGGUGCUUGAGGAGCUAAAUUCAAAUAUACCUCCAAGACUAUGUCAGUCCUGUUCCUUGAGUGGUCUCCUCGAACAAGGCUGGUGCCGUCUCAGCCCCGGCACAAGAGGAUCCCUGUCUAGGGAGCAGGGACACUCAGCACCCCUGGUGAAAAAGACAUCCCAGCGAUCCCUGGACACAACGUGCUUGGUUCAGUGAUGCUGCUCGGCUGACAGCUCACCUGGCUGCUCUGCCUAGAAGCAGAGAGGGAGCCUGUCACUGUCACAGCCCCAGCAGUGUAUCUAAGGCAGGGUUUAUCUGCAGGGAGAGGGUCACCUGCUGGGUUGUGUUUCAGCAUCACACUACAUUUUGGUCUCUCUUUCCCUUUCUCUGUAGCACACUCCUGGUAGAAAGGAUUUGACACCAGGCGAUAAUCUGAAACUGGAGACACAAGGUGCCGGUGCAGCUCUAGUUACAGAUAUUAUGCCAAAGCCUUCACUCUUACUGAUCAUGAGCAUGUCACCCCGCGGUAUUUCUUUCUUUAUUUGUUUUUUUGUUUGCUUACAUAAUUAAUGCAGUGAAAUGAAAACACUGUCCAUAUAACUGUGAGGAUGUCAGAUGUUCAAACAUGACUAUCCCAUUCUAAGGUGACAGAUAUGUGAGGUAGUCUUCAUUUUUAAGUAUUCGAGUCUUGAAAAUGAUGUAGUUACACUCAUCUAUUUGGGGUUACUGUGAUUACUGGCCAUCAUCUCUUUCUGAACCCGAGGCUUCCCUGAGGUCAAAGUAGAAAUAUUCAGCAACGGCCUGAACCACACAGAUGUUGCAGAUCUGCUUGACAGUGUUUACUAUUUGCAGGAUUGCUUUAAAUAAAUAAUGCUUUCAAACUGAGAGUGGGUCGCCUCCAUAAAGAUGGCCUCAUAUAGCAAGAGAAGGAAAGAAGCAAAGGAGAAGAAAGGAAGAGAAAUGCAGUCAGGCAAGAAAUAAGGAAAGAGAGAGAUGGGAGCCAAACUGAGCUGCAUGCUGUCCCGUAGUUUAUUAACAUUUGAUUAGCAUAAUGAAUAUUCAGCCUCUUUAUUAUCUUAUUGUUCCUCUUCACAUAGUAUGUUAAGUAUGGAAAGUUUCUUCUGUGUUUUUUUUUCAUUGCAAAUUUUGCCCCUGGAGAAAUGAGUUCUCUUUAUCAAAAGAGUCAAAGACUAAGGAUUAGGCACGAAAGAAAAGGAAAAUAUGUUGUAAGGAACAUCUCAUGUCUCAUAAAAUCCAAAGCCAAACGAUUUCUAUCAUGUAUCUAUAACUUUCAUGGGACUGUUGACCAGAGUACACUUUUAAAAUACGUGUGUGCUAUGAUUGUUGUUAUCUUUAUAUGGCGGUAGCAUUACAUUUCAAUGCGUCGAUAUCUAACCCACUGAUUAAAUUUGUUUUGAAGAUUG